GGUAGAGAUUCUUCGGAAUCUUGAGAGCGGCGUACGGGUGCGGAACACGUGUGCAACCUGCCUUUAUCUGGGGGAUAGCCUUUCGAAAGGAAGAUUAAUACCCUAUAAUAUAUUGACUGGCAUCAGUUAAUAUUGAAAACUCCGGUGGAUAGAGAUGGGCACGCGCAAGAUUAGAUAGUUGGUGAGGUAACGGCUCACCAAGUCUACGAUCUUUAGGGGGCCUGAGAGGGUGAUCCCCCACACUGGUACUGAGACACGGACCAGACUCCUACGGGAGGCAGCAGUGAGGAAUAUUGGACAAUGGGUGAGAGCCUGAUCCAGCCAUCCCGCGUGAAGGACGACGGCCCUAUGGGUUGUAAACUUCUUUUGUAUAGGGAUAAACCUACUCUCGUGAGAGUAGCUGAAGGUACUAUACGAAUAAGCACCGGCUAACUCCGUGCCAGCAGCCGCGGUAAUACGGAGGGUGCAAGCGUUAUCCGGAUUUAUUGGGUUUAAAGGGUCCGUAGGCGGAUCUGUAAGUCAGUGGUGAAAUCUCACAGCUUAACUGUGAAACUGCCAUUGAUACUGCAGGUCUUGAGUGUUGUUGAAGUAGCUGGAAUAAGUAGUGUAGCGGUGAAAUGCAUAGAUAUUACUUAGAACACCAAUUGCGAAGGCAGGUUACUAAGCAACAACUGACGCUGAUGG
rnacentral:rRNA from 1 species